UACGUAGGGGGCUAGCGUUGUCCGGAAUCAUUGGGCGUAAAGCGCGUGUAGGCGGUUCGGUAAGUCCGCUGUGAAAGUCGGGGGCUCAACCCUCGGAUGCCGGUGGAUACUGUCGGACUAGAGUACGGAAGAGGCGAGUGGAAUUCCUGGUGUAGCGGUGAAAUGCGCAGAUAUCAGGAGGGACACCAUUGCGAAGGCAGCUCGCUGGGACGUAACUGACGCUGAGACGCGAAAGCGUGGGGAGCAAACAGG
rnacentral:rRNA from 1 species